rnacentral:lncRNA from 1 species
GAAACAGAGGGGUUUCAUUAACUCAUUUUUUGCUGGCCAAGGUAGUGCACUGAAGACUGUGAGAUGAUGGCAUCGUUUUUCUUAAAGUUGAAUCAGCAUACUCAAGUGAAAAUAUUCAUAGGAGAACAAGUACAAUUAAAAGAAUUUCUUUACCCAAUUUAUUUUCUUUUCACUCAGGAUUAUAAUUUUUCUCUUAAGUGUAAUUCAUCUAAAAAUAUAAAAUUAUAAUUGUACCUUCUUACUUUGUAAUAAAAAAUAUUUUUUCACCGACCAUGAAAU